GGGGAACAGGAAGGAGGACGGGCGCGGGCCGGCUGGCUGCGCGGGGAGGUCGGGCCGUGCUGGGCCAUGGCGCUCAGCAGGGAGGAAGUGUUCAUACAGAAAGUACUGAAACGCCUCUAUGCUGAAACUUCAUCUUCUCCUGUGCGUGCUUCGAGUGGAAAAGAGGAGGCGGUUCUCAUAAAUCUGGGCUCAAAAUCCAAAGAGAAUGAUUUGGAAAAUGUUCAGGCUUUGUCAGCAGAUGCUGGUACAUCAAGUGGGACACUCAGCAAAUCAUCUCGAGGUAGUGACACCACAAUUCCACCUCCAAGGAGAGUGUACACUGUGAGUCCUGCUCCUGAGGGCUACGUGGCAGCUGUUGGAGAUACUGAUAACAUUACAGUUUCUGAAAACUCUGAGGGUAGCGCUGACUCCACCGAGGAGGAACAUGAAGUACAAACCAAGAGAAAACGCAUUCGAAGAAAGAAACUAAAGAACAGUUUACAAGACUCUAAUAUUUUACAUGGAGAACAAGUACAAUCUGGAAUGCAGGAGACACUUGUUCAAGAUAAUUUACAGCUGCAGCAGAUAGAGAAAAUCAGCAAAAACAAAAGGAGAAAAAUGAAAAAGAAGCGACAGAAAGAAAAAAUGAGAGCAGCUGGCUUGCUAACAAAAACUACCGGUGUGGAUUUUACAUAUCAGCCUGACGAAAACAACAGAGAAGGAGCAGCAGACGUAAAAGACACAGAUGAGAAGGCAGAUAGCAUUCUGGAUUUCUUGCAGGCAACACAGCAAAUUUAUUUUGCUGACAAUAAAUCAAAAUGCACAGAUUCUACUGUAAAUUCAGCUGCUCAGGGGCUUUUACAGUGUCUUGAGUCUCGCAACGUAUCUUCUUCAGAUGUAACUCUUCUACAUCAGAUGAAAUCCCUUGUAUUGCUACAGGAUAUUGACAGACUGAAGGAUGCUUUGAAACAAUUCCAAGAACAUUCCGUGAUGCCUCCUGAUCAUACCAAGUUCAUCAUUACUCUGUUUCACUACUGGAUUACAGAUAUCCUUCCUGUGAGGAACAGCAAAUAAAGCCUUGCUCAUGUCUGUAUGUGCAGGGUUAAAAUUUAAUAUACAAGCACUUAGUCAAGUAGCAAUUAUUCAGAAAGAGCAGUGUCAAUAUACAUUCUACAUCUUCAGUGGUUACUACUGAACAAAGACAUCAGGUGUGCUGGUCUCACAGAACCAUGGAAUCAUGAGUUGGAAGGGACCCACAAAGGUCAUCAUGUCCAACUUCUGGUUCCAUAUAGGACCACAAAGGGGAAAACCUUUCCCUGGACCCAUUGGCAGUGCUGUGCCUGUAGUUCCUCAGAUCACCUUUGGAUCCCUUUGUUAAAAUCCAUUUUACCACCAUGCAGGCCUCCGAUACUGACACAAUUCCCAGAGGUUACACACUGCAGCUAGGCUAGCAGUUGUGUUAUUUCAUCCUUCACUUACUUUAGAGCUGUUAGGUGAAUAGUGUCUGGUCCUAGUGAUCCUUAGCAUUGUGUCAUGGGAGAUACAAUCUGAAGAGAGCAGUCAGUCCUAAGUCCAUUGCGUCAUGUUUAAAUACAAGUGUUCACUACUGUUCCCCUCUUGUUUUGCUUUCCACCUCUAGGUAAUUUAAAUUCUGUUUUAAUCAUUUCUGUUUGGCCUCACAGGCUGACAGCCACAACACUUAAUCAGAAUAAAGACUGCAUAAUGAAAAAAUAAACAUUAUAGAAAUGCUGCUCCUUUGAUUAAUGAUUUUUUCAUGCUUUACCUCCUGCAUAGAUUGUUUUACACUCUACUGAUGCUGAUGAAAGAAUCUUCCAGUGUUCACCUAGAGAGUUCACAACACAAGAAAUGUACCUUUACUCAGGAUUAUGCCUAAAAAUAGGUUACUGAUCAUGCUAAGUAGCCACAACUGUGCUGGCACAAUGCCAUUCCAGAAAUAAUAGAAGUCCUAUUAAGGGAUUAGAGCAUUUAAAUAGGAAUACAGAUAGUCAUGGAUGGAAACUGUAUGUAAUUGGCAAUGUGAAGGCAAUUACAAGGAAACAAAACAAGGGUAUUUGUCAGAAAGUGCAUAAGAACUUAAAUUCAACUCAGAAAGUUUCCAUGAAAUCCAUGUAAUUUAACUUAUAACUCUGAAGCAUUUUCUGUUAUUCUUGGAGGGCUACGGUAAUUUUUAUCUUACUAUAUUGCAUUUUUAAGUUUUACAGGACAAUUUACGGCCCUUUUUUAUUUUACAUGGGCUAAUUCAUUAGCAUGUUGCACUGGAAACAUGCAGCAUGAAAAUAUACAGCAUCCAGGCUUUUAUAUCUACCAGAACGGAUCAAAGUAUUUACAUUUUCCAAAUUAGAAACUAUAUGAGUGAUACAGAUCUAGAGAUCCAUUACUACCAAAUGUGAAGAACAUUCCUAUCAGACCACUAAGGAAAACUUUAGACAAAUAGUUUAGAUACAUGGCUCUAUGCAUGUCCAACCUUUUAGAUUGCCUGGGCCACACUGAGUAAAGAAGAAUUGUCUUGGGCUGCGUAUGAAAUAUAUCAUGUAGCUAAUGUAUGUAAGUAACAAAAUGUCUUUUUUUAAUUACUUUUUUGUUAAAACAUUUGAAAAAGAGGGCAAGAAAAUCAUAAAACUAGUGGGAUGGGCAUGUGUGAUUUAGAACUUUUUGAUGUUCUGAUGCAUUUCUUUACGCAGUAAUGGUAAAUUUCUAUACAGUUCUGCAUUUUAGAAUAGCUCAAGCUUCACUGUUACUGUGAUAGAACAUGACUUUCAGAAGGAUAUUCAUCAGGUUUUAGCAGGUAGGUCAGGUGCUUUGAAGUUUGAGUGAAGAAAAACAACAGCAACAACAACAAAACCCUUACAAACUGUCUUCUUGGGAUUUAUGACUCAAUUUAUAAAACCAUAUGGAAUACAAUAACCCACACAUUUUGGGUAUCUGAAAAUAGUGUUUGAAAAGAGCAGAGAAGUACCAGUGUAAUGGUUGACUGGAGUUGUGUACUUCUGUUGUAAAUCAGUGCUUUAGAAGCAGAACUAAAAUUAUGGUCAUGAUUUGAGUGUAUCCAUAUUAUCCUGGAACAAAACCUUUUCCAUUCAAGAGUCCUAGUACCCCAAACAUCCUUACUGCAGAUAUUUUUUCAUAUUGGGGUGCUGCUCUGAUAUGAAUUAAAAGUGUCCCUGGCUACAGAAAAGCAAGUUACAGAUGGCAGUGUAUAGACUAAGUACAGGACUUAUUGCAUAUUAGGAUCUUUCUCAUACGUAAAAUAUCAUGGUUCUUCACAAGCCUCCAUUUGCAGGCAUCACAGAAGAUCUCACCCAAAUACCUGCAUUUCUGAAAUUACAUGCCAGAAGGCUAUUUCUUAAGAUUUCUCAUUUGUGUGAUUCACUUUGAAAACUCGACAUAUGUGUAAUAGGAUGUCAGUGUGGGAUGUAGAGGAGGAGGAAAAAAGAGCCCUGCUCUGUAGCUGCACAUGCAUCUGCUCAUAUGCACGGAUUUACUGAUGAGAAAAGGUCUCAGCAGCAGCAUAGGACUGGUAGGAAUGAUCUGUCCAGUUUCUUACAAAUGGUUCAAAUUCCAAAGGCUUUAGGCUGUGUGUAUACAUGUGUUGGAUAAGUAACAACCUGGCAGGUCAGUAUAGCUGUUUGCUGUGUAUCAAGCUGCAUUAGAGAUCUGGAACACUAUGUGAUGGAGCCACUCACAAUCUGAGACCCUCUGCAGAUGAAGUGAGGGAAGUCUGUGAGACCAUGCAAUCUGACAGUCGAGCUUUCUAUUGCAUCAGCCACAGAGAGAACAAAGGACACAACAUGAAGAGUUCUCAUCACAGAUUGUAACAAAUUUUCUCAUACUGUUUCUCACAGUGACGAACACCCACUGAGCGUUGACUAGCCAGGAGCACCUGUUCAGCCUGGCACACGAGCCAGUAUGUGGUGGGUGUCCUGAGGUAGAUGGAGUCUAGUGGACUUUGGGAAGGAGAGCAGAGUGAGGGGACAUGCCUUAUUCCUUAACAAGCUCCCCCCUCUUUGCACCAUCUUUUCUAAGUGGGCGUUUCAGGCACUUCACAGGAAAGAGCCUGAUGCCUUGUUUCUAAAUGUGCUCUUGAGUAAUGAAAUGUCUUGUGAGUGCUGCCAGAUAGAUCCAUAGGUCUGCCUUAAGUUUCCCUAUCCAGAUCAGCAUUGAGACGGACGUUGAGGAAUGGCAUUACAGCAUAUGAAUACACCCAUCUUCUUCACAAACUGUCAGCAUUGCACUGUAUGUGCCUCCAUUACACUACCUUGCUGAAGUAUUUGCACACGCUCUGAAUAGUGGGACUGUUGCAAGACAGUGCAUUACAGCUCUCAUUCCAGGGUUAACUGGGACCUCCAGGACCUCCCCCUGGAAGUUGGUUGACUUCUUGCCAGAUAAGAACCUCCCCAAAAUAAUGGAUGUAGACAAAUCUCAACACCCGUGUAGUUCCCAGUCCAGUGAAAACAGCCCAGCAUCUCUGGUAACUUAAAAGCAGCAAGCCAAAGUGCUCUUGUUUAAAAAAGAUAGCCAUUAUUCUGCUAUGGGUUUUAAGGAGUGGAAAAGCAGAAAACACAGCAGGGAAGUGCUUGUGCUGUAAUAUCACUUGCACAGCAGAGGUGGACAAGCUUCUACCCUCACUCCUCACCUUGCCCCUAUCUGCUAGUUCAGUUUUCUGUUGCAGUCCAACCUCUGAUUUCUGCAAAGCUGUACGAAUGGUUACGGUAGAACCAAAUAUCAGAGCUGCCAGUGCUGUGAGCACUGCAGCACCUUUUUGAAAUGUGCUGAUUUCCAUUAAGGACUUCAGAGCUGCAAGAUCCCAAGUCUUCUCUCCGCCUUUUGCUUAUUUUAUUGGUUUGAGGUUUUCUGGUAUUUUUUUUUUUUUCAUUUUGGUUAAGUUCUUUUGAUCUUCAGUUGUAAAAUGAGUAAAUAUUUCUGUACUACUGUACAUGUUAGCUACAGAAAAACAGGCAAUACAUUUAUUCACUCAAAUAUUGUACAGAACCUCCCACGUUCUGGCGGGCAGUGGCUGUCUAAUGGGGCUUGGGAGGUGGGAGCCCCAAAGAUGCUGUACUUGUUCUUUGUGUCACAUUGUAUAUCUCUUCCUGCAGGCCUUUAAAUUCAGUCCUUCUCAUUAAUUGACUUUUCUACGUGUAGUGGGAUAUUCCAUGAACCUCAGUGUUUGAAGACCUCCUGUGAGUGAGGGACAGUGGAGCUGAGAUGCUGAGAUCCACUAGCUGGGAACUAAGAUAAAAAGUACAGUGCAAGGACAGCAAUGUCUCUGCUCGGUAUCUAAGAGAGGAAGCAUUUGGUGAUCCUAGGCUUUGAGGACCCUUUAAUGGAUCACCUUAUCCCAUCCGAUAUGUUGAAAUAGCCCUUUGGGAUGAGUCCUUGUGGUUCAGUAUUCAGCAGGAGCAGCAGGAAAAAACAAUCCAAAGCAGGUGAAUUGAUCUGCAUGACUGAUAUGAAGCUCAGAAAUGGCAUAGGAGAAGAAUUUGGAUUCUCAAGAUACUAAGGAUUGUAGCACAGCUCUCUCUGAACAAUAUGCUCUACAUGUACAGUGCAUACUCCUCAGAAACCCUUGCUGCCUUGCCAGCAUGUGAGCCUGAUGACAGUACUUUCUAGUCAUUCUACCAAAGCCAAUAUAGACAUAGGCUUUAUCAGACACAGGCUUAUUCUUGUACUGCUGCUACUUUCUUUUGAAUCACAGAAUAAUAGAAUCAUAGAAUGGCUUAGGUUGAAAGGAACCUUAAAAGAUCAUCCAGCUCCACCCUGCCGCCCUGAGCAGGGCUGCCACCCACUAGAUCAGGUUGCCCAGGGCCCCAUCCAAUCUGGCCUUUCUUUGCGCCUCUUGCCAAGUUCAGUUCCAGCUGGGCCUUGACCUUCCUGACUCCACCUUUACACAGCCUAGCAGCAUCCCUAUACUCCUCCCAGGUUACCUGUCCCUGUUUCCAUUUUUCUUCUUACUCUCCAGUUUGACCAGCAGAUCCCCAUUCAGCCAUGCCUGUCUCUUGCUUUCCUUUCCUGACUUCCUACACCUGGGAGUGCAGAGCUCUUGUGCCCUGAGGAAAACUCUGUAGGAAGGCAGCUAACUACAGUGUGCAUGUAACCCUGCCUGGACUAUUUCAAUUGAAUGCUGUGCUGCAGAAGUUCAGUGUAAUAUAAAGAAGAAUGAGGAUGAGUCAUUUUGUUACUACGUCUUGUAUUAUUAUGAAUCUAAGAGUAAUUUUUCUGAAUGCUUUUACAGUGCCAUAAAACUGUCAGCUCUUUGCUGCUAGGCACUGCAAUAGGAGUAGCAGUGUUCCAAAGAAUCUGCUUUUGUCAUAUGGUCCCCAGUGUCUGUGAUUUAACACAGCUAAUAAUGAAUCAGGUAACUACUACAGAUUUAUGCACCUGCUUUGUUACAGUACAUGAGCUUUCCAUGUUAUACCAUAAGGUCUUGCGGUACAGAAGAAUAGCCAAAUUAUGUGUUAAAACUAUUUUAUCUGCUUUCUUUCUUGUAAAGUUUCAGAAACCCAUCCUUCACCAGAAGCCGCCGUCUUUCUAUACUUAAUCUCCUCAUGGCUGUAUUUGUUUGUUAGCGCUGUAUUAGCCUUUGGCCUCAGCAGCAUUCCGCUUUCUCUGCUAUUUGUUCCCUUUGUAUUUGUAGGAAGUAAUCGAAUGCCUCCCAGCCUUCCUUUUGCAAGGUUGAACAAGAUAAUCUUGUAUAAGUUCUUCAGGUAAUAUGCUGCCCUUCUUCGUACCAGGUUUACUUUGAACUCUCCUGUUUUAAUCAAAGGAGAGCAAUCCAUGUGCCUGCAUUUACACUGUUGAUGUCUACAUCUGAGCUUGCUACAUCAUCUCACUGUAUUAUCCAUCAUCACUUCUUUUCAUUUACAACAUCAAUAUGUCAAAUAGGUAAAUUGAAGUGGCUGUUCAGAGCAGCUAGUUCAGAGACAGGCAUCUGUGCUAUACAGGUCUAAGUUAGCAGAGAGGAAUCCAGCCCACAAACGCAUGCCAGAGGGUUUAUGUGUUUGUGCUCUGUCUGUGCUACUGCCAGUGACAGCAAUGCUAACCUAUCUUUACUUGGAAAUACUUAAAAAAGAAAAAGUUCCAGCGUCACUUUUCCUGUUUCCACAGUGGCAUCCCAGUAACGUCUCUUGGAAGUCUUUCGAGACAAUUCUUCUCCUUUCUUUUCUUUUUCUCUUCUUUGUAUGCAAUUUCUAACAGGUACAGUCUGCAGUAAUUUCCAACAAUUUUCUUUCACGGCAGAAGUUCUCCUUUCUCCAUAGCAGAAAUUAGCCUGAUUUUCUGCUAUUAUGUGGGGGAUCUUUGCUGGUAAAUUUUUGUCUGUUGCUAUUAUUCUGUCCUUCAAUGUCAUCAAAGCAAUGUGGGUAGGCAGGCCGCAAAUACAGAAGUAACUGCUUGGCAGUGGAGCUGUGGGAAGUGAACUAGUCGAUACACAGCAUGAAGUAAAUGAGUAGUUUAUGCUGUUCCAUUGGUAACUCCAUAAGCCUCAGCAGCACAUUCUCUUGCUACUGUCUAUCCAUAACCUUAGAUGACUUUAAGGACUGAACAAUUUACAGUUGUGAUCUGUGCCUCAGUUCAUCCACAUAGUAUUCCGCUCCUCUUUUAUUGACAGCAUUUCCUACUUCCACCAGCAACAUAUUCCAAUACAGCUCCCUCAUUUUGUGCUCCACAAAGAUAGUACAGUGUAGUGCAACACUGUGGCUAACAUUGUUCCUGUUCCUUGCCUGUCUCAUCAUCUUAAAAUUCAUUAACCACCUUCAGAUCCCUCCUUAACACCGUGCUUUGCUGCAACGCCCACAAAAAUGUGGAAACAGUCUGACUGAGAGUGAGCUGAGAACACUGCCACGCAUGCCAAGCACUAUAUUUUCUUUGUUUCCCAGUGCUCCUCCAUCUGUUGGCACCCACUUGUUUCUAAAUGGAUUGUAAGCACUUUGGGGCAGGACCACGGCCUUCUUCGAUGAGCUCGUGGGGCCUAAUCCUGUUACCAUCGAAGAGCUGGGGUGUUUUUAAGUUACAUUUGUCUCAGGCAAAAUUCCUUUGAGUUUAGCUUUAAUUUUUAAAUAACACCUAGAAUGAUUUGUGAGGAAGUACUCUCAGAUCUAAUAUCUGCUUAAGUAAAAAAAAAAAAAACCAAAAAAAAAAAAAAACCAAAUAGUCAUAUGGUUGUGUAUAGAGGCAACUUUAUUGAGUUGUUUUCUUCAUGUAAUUCAUUUGCACACAGAGACGGUAUUUUGUAUUUACUCCCAUCCCAUACAUAGAGGUGAAGUGGAAGCCAUCUGUGAGUUCAGAAUCCUGACCGUAUUCCUCCAUCCAGGCCUAUGUAAGGAUGAUGAAUUUUGGAACGUAGUUCUUCAGUUAAAUGUCUGAAUUGCUUUCAAAAUGGCAGUGGUGGGUUCUUGUGGGAGGUGACUGCUGCCAUCAACAUGUCUUUGCCCCCUUUUAUUGCCAUUGUCUGGGGGCCUAAUAAUUUGCCUUCAGAGAGUGUAGCGAUAGGUGAGGAUGCAGCACCAGCCUCAACAGCACAUAGCACUCAGCAAUAGCAGCAUCAUGAGCAAAAAGCACCAGCAGGAGUUUGAGCAGGUCCCACUUAAACCUGUGUCACUUCUUUAGGAGAGUGUUAUGGGGGGAUCUGUAGCACUGGAGAGGGGCCCUGGGAAAGCUGCUUGCUUGGGUCCCCUGUCACUUCUCUUCCCAAUGGCCAAUGAGUAGAUUUCACUUUUCCCUAUUUUUAGUUUUUCUCUUCUUCCCCUUUCUCUCUGGUUUGCAUUUUUACUCCACAUAUUAGCCUUGGGGUUUGCUGGCAGCUGCAGACUCAACCGAUGGGUCUUUAUGCAUGUGAACCCAACUCAACAUACUUUGCAGAGCAGCUGUGUGUGGCUGCAGCUCUGUGGGUGAAAGAUGCUUCUCUUGCCAUCUGCUGUUCCUGUGCUCUGUCUCUUGAACACUACCAGCUUGCAUUGCUCCUCUUUCCCUCUGCUUCAGGAAGGCUAAAGAUGUGGUGAGGCACUGGCACAGGCUGGAUGGCACAGGCAACCUGAUCUAGUGGAAGAAGUCCCUACCCACACUAGGGGGGUUGGAACUAGUUGGCAUUUGAGGUUCCUUCCAAUCUCCAAGUAUGUCCAAAUAAGUUAUUCGCCUUGGUUGACUCCUACUGCAUUUAGGAAAGCAGCACAUGCUCAUCCUGAAUUCAUGGAUUUACAGCAAGAAACAUUUAAUUUCAUCACCGAUUUCUCCUCUUAAUGGAAAUAAAACACAAGGUUGUAGAUACGGAUGGGUUGGAUCAAAGAAUUCCUCACCUUUAAUUCUGGGAUGGGGAGGGAAGGGAGGAUGUCAGCAUGUAAUUUGCGUUUUGCCUGCUUGUUGCCUAUUAGAAAACUGUCUGUCAAGCAGCAAAGGUGCCAGUAGAUGAACGAAGUGAGCAGUCUGCUCUGCUAGCAGGAUCCUCAUGUAUUUGCCAAGAGAGCAAAUCUCUCUUGUAACGAGAGCCAUGUGCUGCCUGGGGUUGUCUUGCUCUCUCAGCCCAACCUAGAAGUGACUGUGGCUGAGAUGUGCAGGUCUGCAGAACUUCUGGCUGAUGUGGCAAUCAUGGUUCCUUUCUGGGAUGUGAACUUCCAAAGGAACUGAAGCAAGACUUCUGUUUGUUCACAGAGCUGAAAUAACGUAGAAGCCAGGCAUGUGGUUCUUUUAGAGACCUUGGGAAAGUCAUACAGAUUUUGGUAACACCUUCAAUUACAGAAAACAUUCUUCUGUUUAACUGUGUUGAGCACAGCCAAGAAAUAACUUGUAAAAGAUCUGUGGCAUUCAAGGCAUCCCGUUUCCCUUUCCUUUUAUUUUCAGCAGAGAUGCUGGAUGGGAGGUUCUUCCUGUCUGAACACUGUGCCCCAGGAAGCCCUCCCCUCCACUGCCAUUCUCUGAACUGAACAAAUCACACACACAGGUACAAAUGUGAUUAGUAAUGCAUUUUGAGCUCUACUGAAAUUGUGAUACUGCUUUGAAUAUGAGCAAGGUGGGAAAUUUAAAGGAAAAAAUUUGCAUUCCUUACAUUUCCAUACAAGUGCAGACCCUGAGGCUUUAGAACCUACUCUGGGCAGCAAUCCUGGGUUCUUUUCUUGUACAGAAAGGAUAACAUUUGGCAUACUGUGAGAAACAGAAGCAAGAAGAAAAGGCUUUGCCUUUUUCCAGUGUAGAUUUUAAUCUCAAACUUGUUUGUACAGACACAGUGACUUACAUUCACUGAUGCACCUUGUUUCAGUGGUGUCUCCUGUUAUGAUAAUGUGAACCCGAAUCAGGAAGAAGUCUUUCCAUGAACUUCAGCGAGCUCCCCAUUUUAUGUUGAUUGUUUGUCAUUAAUGCAAUGUUUCCUACAGCUGAGAUAUGCAACAGUUCAGAUUUAGCACAGGACUACUGUUCAAGUGUGUAUUUUAAAAGGCCCAGAUUGGCAAUUUCCCAACGUCCUGCUUGAUAUUUAGAUUUAUGCUAUAGAACUAGUGCAGCUUACCUUAGCUUUUCAGAGGAUGAGACAUAACUUCACUGAUGCUAACAGAGUUCAUACAGUAUAAAUGUGGCGUGGCAAAGAGAAAGGUGAAAUCUACCUGCAGGCCAGAGCCUCAGAAUAAAGUAGCAUCACUCCCUUCUAUAACAUUAAUUAAGCACCUGCUGUAAAGUAAAUGAGUUAUGAUAAUUCUUGAUAACUGAUAUCACUGCGGAAUGCCUAAUGUAGAAUAUUUCUCCAAGUAGAAACCUUUCAUUUUUCUGCUGGUUUACGGCAGGAACAUUACUCCUAGAGCUUCAGAAUGCCACAGUAAAGAGCCUGGAGGGGUGUAAAUCAGCACUGUUCUGCCGAGCACUUCUGAUGAGUGCUGACGUGGUCUCGCAGAGCACAGUGUUGCUGUGAUGGUUGACAUCUCCUGAAGAUUUACCCUGCAUGUUUAGAAGUGUGACUGUAACUGGAGCUGAAUUGUGCCUUGCUAUCCUUACCCAAUGUUGCAUAAAUUGAUAGUGAGAAAGAAGAGUUUUCUCAUUACAGUCUAUCAAUGGAAGCUUCUUAAAGAAAGAGAAAUUCAUUCUGUAGAUCAGAUUUUACCACCCCAGGGGCUGAACUGAGUCCAACCUCACUGCAAAGGAAUCGCAGUUAACAGAAAGUAGUACUGAUAGUAAAAAUAAAUAUUAGAUUAGGUACUUUUUAGAGGUAAAGCUUCAGCAGUUGAAAAGGGAGGCAAGAACAUGCAUAAUACCAGGUAAAGGAGAUUGCUCCCAGAAAAGAAAGAGCUUAUUUUUAAAUGUGCCUCCAAAUAACUCUGUUAUAUUAUUAACACAUCCUUUCAACUUGGGUCAUGGCUGAAUUAAGCUUCCUACACAGGUUGUGCUAUAGAUAUAAACGUAUACUCAAAGUCACAUAAAAGCAAUCCAAUCCUAUUUGCAUUGUCAGUCCAUGAUACAAAAUGCUGUAAUGACCUCUUUUUUUAAGUCCAGUGCUAUCUAUAAAACAGGCUUAGGCCUUUUUGUUCUUAAAGAGGUCAGCUGUUGCUUUGCUUUCUUAAUGAGCUUCAGACAUUCCCAGAGAGCUUUCUAAUAUUGCAGACAUACCUAGCCCCAGGCAAGACACUUGCAGCCUCUGCCAACACCUAAGCUUUGCAGACAGAUCACAUGUGACAGGUUAUGCAACUCAGCUGGGCUUUAUAUACGAGUUCGAUGUUAGCAUUUAAGGAACUUACAGGGAAAAGAGCUCCAGGUAAGGAGAAAAUGUUUGCAUAUGUUGCUUCUUGGAGCACCCUGGCACUCCAACAAAGCAUAUUAGAUUUAAUCUUCUAUUUCAUUUGGAGGUCAGUGUAAAAAAAUCCUUGGGAAUUAGUAAUGUUUUCUGUCUUCUAAAAUUGCAGGGACUGAAAUUCAACAAAGACUUAGAAAUAAUGGUUAUCCCUCUGCGGAGAAUGACACCUGGGUAUAUAAGGUUGCUGCAGACUCAAGCUGCAGGAAAAAUAGUUAUCAACUCAUCAGACGUACUGCUGCAACGGGCAGCCUUGCUCCUGGGCAUGUUUGGGAUCAGUCUCUCCAGCUACAGCACACACCAGCUGGCUCAACAGAAGAGACUUUCCGUGACCCUUUAAGCUGCGCUGGGAUGUGACCCGACAAAUAAAUGCUUGUGUCAGAAAUGCUGACAAGUAGCU